GCUCUGUUGUCUUAGUGGUUAGGAGCAUGGACUCUGGAUCCAGAUUUCUUGGAUUCAAUUCCUAGAUAGGCCA
rnacentral:tRNA from 1 species